AUAUAUAUAUAUAUAUUAUACUAAAAUUUGGUUAAUAUAUUUCAUACUUAUUAUACAGUGGUUUUUUUUUCCUUGUGGCUUUUUACUUAUGUUGUUUAUGUUACUGAGAUUAGAAAUACUUUUUUGUAUUCUGAAUAUAUAAACAUUGUUGGAAACCAGCUUUUGAUUCUUGUCUCUGACUCCUAUGCAUUCUGUACCCGAAUGGGUUUGCUAAUGGUAGAAUGCAGCUGACAAUACAUCAUCUAGAAGUCCUCUAAAGAAAUCUGGGAAGGACAUGAGAGCUACACCUACUUUGAAGCUUCCAAGGUUUAACUUAAAUUCACUGAAUCUUCUCCAGAUGGCUAAGAACAGAUCAGUAAAUCAGAGACCUACUCAUCUGUUUAAAGAUUGUGAAGCAUGUUUCAUGGACUUAAAUGCACAAAUACACUUAUGGCAGCUGACAUGGAGAUGACCAGUGCCUAUGUGUG